rnacentral:rRNA from 1 species
UACGUAGGUGGCAAGCGUUGUCCGGAAUCAUUGGGCGUAAAGAGCGCGUAGGUGGCUUGUCAGGUCUGAUGUGAAAUUUCGGGGCUCAACCCCGAACCUGCAUCGGAAACCGGCUUGCUAGAGUCUGGGAGAGGAGAGUGGAAUUCCUGGUGUAGCGGUGAAAUGCGUAGAUAUCAGGAGGAACACCGGUAGCGAAGGCGGCUCUCUGGAACAGUACUGACGCUGAGGCGCGAAAGCUAGGGGAGCGAACAGGAUUAGAUACCCUGGUAGUCCUAGCCGUAAACGAUGGACACUAGGUGUCGGGGGUGUCGACUCCCCCGGUGCCGAAGCUAACGCAUUAAGUGUCCCGCCUGGGGAGUACGGCCGCAAGGCUAAA